rnacentral:rRNA from 1 species
UACGGGGGGGGGCAAGCGUUGUUCGGAAUUACUGGGCGUAAAGGGCGCGUAGGCGGCCUGCUAAGUCGGAUGUGAAAUCCCCCAGGCUUAACCUGGGAACUGCAUCCGAUACUGGAUGGCUUGAAUCCGGGAGAGGGAUGCAGAAUUCCAGGUGUAGCGGUGAAAUGCGUAGAUAUCUGGAGGAACACCGGUGGCGAAGGCGGCAUCCUGGACCAACACUGACGCUGAGUGAGCGAAAGCCAGGGGAGCAACGGG